GCGGAGGAAAAGAAACCAACAGGGAUUGCCUCAGUAACGGCGAGUGAAGCGGCAACAGCUCAAAUUUGAAAUCUGGCUCUUUCAGGGUCCGAGUUGUAAUUUGUAGAGGAUGCUUCGGCGUGGGCCCCGGUCUAAGUUCCUUGGAACAGGACGUCACAGAGGGUGAGAAUCCCGUACGUGGCCGGCGGUGCUCGCCAUGUGAAGCUCCUUCGACGAGUCGAGUUGUUUGGGAAUGCAGCUCUAAAUGGGAGGUAAAUUUCUUCUAAAGCUAAAUACUGGCCAGAGACCGAUAGCGCACAAGUAGAGUGAUCGAAAGAUGAAAAGCACUUUGGAAAGAGAGUCAAAAAGUACGUGAAAUUGUUGAAAGGGAAGCGCUUGCAACCAGACCUGUCCGUAGUUGCUCAUCCAGGCUUCUGCCUGGUGCACUCUUCUGCGGUCAGGCCAGCAUCAGUUCUGGCGGUCGGAUAAAGACGGCGGGAAUGUAGCUCCUCUCGGGGAGUGUUAUAGCCCGCCGUGUCAUGCGGCCAGCCGGGACUGAGGUCCGCGCUUCGGCUAGGAUGCUGGCGUAAUGGUUGUAAGCGGCCCGUCUUGAAACACGGACCAAGGAGUCUAACAUCUGUGCGAGUGUUUGGGUGUCAAGCCCGGACGCGUAAUGAAAGUGAACGGAGGCGGGAACCUUCGGGUGCACCGUCGACCGAUCCUGAUGUCUUCGGAUGGAUUUGAGUAAGAGCAUAGCUGUUGGGACCCGAAAGAUGGUGAACUAUGCCUGAAUAGGGUGAAGCCAGAGGAAACUCUGGUGGAGGCUCGCAGCGGUUCUGACGUGCAAAUCGAUCGUCA
rnacentral:sRNA from 2 species